GUCUAUAGCCAUGCUCCCUGAACAAGUCUGAUCUCAUCUGAUCUUGGAAGCUAGGCAAGGUUGGGCCUGGUUAAUACUUGGAUGGAAGACCACCUAGGAAGACCAGGUGCUGUAGGCA
rnacentral:rRNA from 1 species